UAAAACGCAGCUCUGGGUUAAUUUGUUUUAGAAUUUUUUUAGGAAAAAGACCCCCUCGAUCAGUUCAAUACACAACAAUGAAAAAAAAAACCCUAAGUUUUCUGAAAAAACCUCUCAUCUCAGCUUGUUCUCUAGCUCUCGAUCCCUAAUCUCGCCGCCGUCCUCUGUGCCACGUAGCUCGACAUCGCCGUGCUCUGAUCGAUAUCCAUUCCUCCCAAAUCUUGAAGGGAUCGUCGGUAAGUUAAGGACACACACUCUCUUCGUCUGUUCUUGGUAGUCAGUGAUUCUUUCUCGCUUUGUCGCAGCAAG